rnacentral:tRNA from 1 species
GCGGGAAUAGCUCAGUUGGUAGAGCGCAACCUUGCCAAGGUUGAGGUCGCGAGUUCGAGUCUCGUGUCCCGCUCCA